CCUACGGGUGGCAGCAGUAGGGAAUUUUCGUCAAUGGGCGCAAGCCUGAACGAGCAAUGCCGCGUGAACGAGGAAGGUCUUCGGAUUGUAAAGUUCUGUUGAAGGGGAAAAAGAGCGGAGAGAGGAAAUGCUUUCUGAUUGAUAUUACCCUUCGAGGAAGUCACGGGUAACUACGUGCCAGCAGCCGCGGUAAUACGUGGGUGGGGAGCGUUAUCCGGAAUGAUUGGGCGUAAAGGGUGCGUAGGCGGCCUGCUAAGUCUGGAGGGAAGGGUACCGGCUCAACCGGUACAGGCCCUGGAAACUGGCGGGCUAGAGAGCAGGAGAGGGAGGUGGAAUGCGAUGUGUAGCGGUAAAAUGCGUAGAUAUAUGGAAGAACACCAGUGGCGAAGGCGGCCGCCUGGCCUGUAACUGACGCUGAGGCACGAAAGCGUGGGGAGCAAAUAGGAUUAGAUACCCGGGUAGUC
rnacentral:rRNA from 1 species